rnacentral:piRNA from 1 species
UACGUGGUCCCAAGGUUAAAGCUGUCUGA